GUNGGUAGNCGUACGAGCGCACCCCUAUCCUUAGUUGCCAUCAGUUCGGCUGGGAACUCUAGGGAGACUGCCGGUGACAAACCGGAGGAAGGUGGGGACGACGUCAAGUCAUCAUGGCCCUUAUGGGCAGGGCUACACACGUGCUACAAUGGCCGGUACAAAGGGCAGCGAAGCCGCAAGGUGAAGCGAAUCUCACAAAACCGGUCGUAGUCCGGAUUGCAGUCUGCAACUCGACUGCAUGAAGCUGGAAUCGCUAGUAAUCGUGGAUCAGAAUGCCGCGGUGAAUACGUUCCCGGGCCUUGUACACACCGCCCGUCACACCAUGGGAGUGGGCUGUACCAGAAGUAGGUAGUCUAACCCUCGGGAGGACGUUUACCACGGAGUGAUUCAUGACUGGGGUGAAGUCGUAACAAGGUAGCCCUAGGGGAACCUGGGGCUGGAUCACCUCCUU
rnacentral:rRNA from 1 species